UACAGAGGGGGCAAGCGUUAUUCGGAAUUAUUGGGCGUAAAGGGCGCGUAGGCGGCUUGGCAAGUGGAAGGUGAAAUCCCUCGGCUUAACCGAGGAACUGCCCUCCAAACUGCUUGGCUUGAGACCGGGAGAGGUGAGUGGAAUUCCCAGUGUAGCGGUGAAAUGCGUAGAUAUUCGGAGGAACACCAGAAGCGAAGGCGGCUCACUGGCCCGAUACUGACGCUGAGGCGCGAAAGCGUGGGGAGCAAACAGG
rnacentral:rRNA from 1 species